rnacentral:snRNA from 1 species
GCACUCGUUUCGGCAGCACAUAUACUAAAAUUGGAACGAUACAGAGAAAAUUAACGUGGCCCCUGUGCAAGGAUGACACGCAAAUUCGUGAAGCAUUCCAUAUUUUU